AUUACUAUUUCUUUCCGCAUCUCUCUCUCUCUCUCUCUCUGCGCGCGCGCAACUGCGGCAACUUUCAUAUCGCUGCAUUGGCUUAUGCAGUUAUGAAUUGUAUGCAGCGCUCGGUGUAUUUCCGCCGCUCUGAUGUCUUGAAAAGAACGAUUGCUAUUAACUAUGGCGAACAACCUAAGGCGCUUCCGAAGUUGAUGAGGGAAACUUAAGUGAUUCCUUUGGGUGGUUAAUUAGCUUCUAAAAUGCAUGAGUGAAGAUAAAAAAACUGGAGACAUUGGGGUCUGAAGGUAAUAGCAUAAAUAAGUGCUUGAAUAGUUGGCUGACAUUGGAGUUCCAUUCAUAGUCUGUAAAGACAAAUGGAGAAAGUAUUUGAACAUGUCAGUUUGGAAAUUUCGGUUUGUAUCUUUUGAUCCUAGGGUUUGGAGACAAUUUUAGGAAGUGCAUCUUUUCAUGCAGUAUUUGUUAUCGGAUUUUCAAACCUUAUUAAACCGUCCACCUGGCCUUUUCAGCAA